rnacentral:rRNA from 1 species
AAUGUAGAGUUGGUUGUAGCUGGCAUUUCCUUUAAUUUGGGGAUUGCAUGUGCACACCUUCUCUUUCAUCCACACACCCCUGUGCACUUGUGAGACAGAUUGCUUUUUGGAGGGGGAACUUUAUUGGACCCUUUCUUUUUGGCUCUCUGUCUACUUAAUUAAUAUAAACUCAAUUUAUUUUAAAAUGAAUGUAAUGGAUGUAACACAUCUAAUACUAAGUUUCAACAACGGAUCUCUUGGCUCUCGCAUCGAUGAAGAACGCAGCGAAAUGCGAUAAGUAAUGUGAAUUGCAGAAUUCAGUGAAUCAUCGAAUCUUUGAACGCACCUUGCGCUCCUUGGUAUUCCUUGGAGCAUGCCUGUUUGAGUAUCAUGAAAUCUUCAAAGUAAUAUCUUUUGUUAAUUCAAUUGGUUUUGCUUUGGUAUUGGAGGUCUAUUGCAGCUUCACACCUGCUCCUCUUUGUUCAUUAGCUGGAUCUCAGUGUUAUGCUUGGUUCCACUCAGCGUGAUAAGUUAUCUAUCGCUGAGGACACUUUUCCUACUCUGUAAAAAGAGUUUGGGAGGGGUGGCCAAGGUAAAUGCAGAUGAACCGCUUCUAAUAGUCCAUUGACUUGGACAAUCAAUAUUUAUGAUCUGAUCUCAAAUCAGGUAGGACUACCCGCUGAACUUA